GUUCCCACCCAGCCUCAAGCAGGAAGUGCUGGUGGCUAUUGGCCAGCACAGAACUCAGGUGCCCGUGAGGUCCUGCUGCAACUCUACAGGGAGCACCUGAAGAACCCUGAUGGCCACAGCUUCCUAACCAAGGAGGAGCUGCUGCAGAAAUGUGCCCAGAAGGCCCCCCGGAUAGCUCCUGGAAGUUCCAGACCCUGGCCUGCCCUCCGAGGUCUACUCCAGAGAAACCUAGUCCUCAGAACACAUCGGCCAUCCAGGUAUGCACUGACACCAGAGGGCCUAGAGCUGGCCCAAAACCUGGCCAAGUCAGAAGGCCUGAGCACACUGAACAUUGCCAUUAGGCCAGAGGAGCCCCAUGGAGAGGAGUCAGCAGCCCCAGAAGCCACCUUGUCAGAACCUGGCACCAGUGAAGGUGUUGUCCAGCAGCCACCACUGGAGCUGAGGCCUGGCGAGUACAGAGUGCUGUUGUGUGUGGACACUGGAGAAACCAGAGGGUCGGGACACAGGCCAGAAAUGCUCCGAGAGUUACAGCGGCUGCAUGUGCCCCACACAGUACGAAAGCUGCAUGUUGGUGACUUCGUGUGGGUAGUGCAGGAGACCAGGCCCAGAGACCCAGCAAGACCUGGGGAGUUAGUCUUGGACCACAUUGUGGAACGCAAGCGGCUAGAUGACCUGUGCAGCAGCAUCAUUGACGGCCGAUUUCGGGAGCAGAAGUUCCGCCUGAAGCGCUGUGGCCUGGGGCACCGGAUAUACUUGGUGGAGGAACAUGGGUCUGUCCACCACCUCAGCCUUCCUGAGAGUACAUUGCUGCAGGCUAUCACAAACACCCAGGUCAUUGAUGGUUUCUUUGUGAAGCGUACCAUGGAUAUUAAAGAGUCAGCUGGCUACCUGGCCCUUUUGACAAAGGGCCUUGAAAGACUAUAUCAGGGCCAUACCCUACGCAGCCGCCCCUGGAAAACCCCAGGGGAUGCUGAAUCAGGAGCAAGGCCUUCUACAAACCCUCUCUGCUCACUCCUCACCUUCAGUGACUUCAAUGCAGAAGCUGUCAAGAACAAGGCCCAGUCUGUACGGGAAGUAUUCGCCCGGCAGCUGAUGCAGGUUCAUGGACUGAGUGGGGAGAAGGCAGCAGCCCUGGUGGAUCGGUACAGCACACCUGCCAGCUCUCAUGAUGCUGGCCCAGAUAAGCAGCCAUUGUAUGCCCCCUCCCUCCAGUCUCCUGGCUGCCUAUGAUGCCUGUGCCACCCCUAAAGAGCAGGAGAUGCUGCUGAGCUCUAUCAAGUGUGGGCGUCUACAGAGAAAUCUGGGACCUGCUCUGAGCAGGACCCUGUACCAGCUCUACUGCAGCCACAGUCCACUGACCUGACCUAUACCUGGAGACACACCCAAGUACCCAUCUUCACCUCUGCCAAGGCUAGCCAGCCUUUGAACUGGGAUCCUUUGGGCUAUAAUACAAGCUAAAUGUUUGUGGUCUUAGGAGUUAAGGAAGCAGUGCCAAGGUCCUUAUGAAAUAUGUAGGUACUGGGAGACUACACCUUGUAAGCCAGUGGUUUUGUUUUGUAAUAUUGGCAGUGAAACCCACAGCCUCAUGCAUGCUAGGCAAUUCCUCUUCCAUACAGCAAUGAUCUGCAGCCUUGGACAGUGUUUCCUCCCACUCCCAUCCCCUCCUAAAACCCAGCUUGGCCUAGAACAUGCUAUGUCCCCAGGCUCUCCUGGAAUUCCCAAUCUUCCUAAGUCCACCUUCCAAGUCCUGGAAUUAAAGGUGUGGACCACUAUA